rnacentral:sRNA from 1 species
UAGCCAUGUCGCACCUCUCUUACAGGUGGGUUGUGGUAGGUCUGUGCCAGGUAGCCGCCUGGCACAGACCGCUU